rnacentral:lncRNA from 1 species
UGCUUAAAUCCAUACAAACUUAACUGCACCCUACCACCACUUCUUACCUCCCACUGCUCUUCCCCCCUCGCCCUCUCCUCUCUCUUUCUCUCUCUUACCUCCUCCGGCCCUCUACGCCCCACCCCCCGCCCCCCCUCACCCCAACCCCUAUUGGCCGUCCGGUGUUACGGGCUACGCAAAGCGCAUGGUUUGGUGGGGGGGCCGGAGGUAUUAACAUGCUUUUAUAAAGCGCGGCGGGGAUAGGGGCGAGGUGGGUUUGGAAGGCAUAACUCUGCAGGGGAUUUCGCCCACUGCUUCGGAUUCAGACCCGCCGCCAGAGGAGCGAGAUUAGGAGAGAAGAAUCGUUCAGCAAGACGAAGACGAAGACGAAGAAGAGAUAAGAGAGGUAAAACCCACCCCACCGGAGCCUCUGAUAGCUGAACCCGAACGUCGGCUUCUUAUGGGCUACCACCACCGGCUGAAUCUUCUUCCUCUCUCUCUCUCNNNNN